rnacentral:rRNA from 1 species
UACGGAGGGCGCAAGCGUUUUUCGGAAUCAUUGGGCGUAAAGCGCGUGUAGGCGGCUUGGCAAGUCGAGUGUGAAAGCCCGGGGCUCAACCCCGGAAGGUCGCUCGAAACUGCCUCGCUAGAGUCCCGGAGAGGAAGGCGGAAUUCCCGGUGUAGAGGUGAAAUUCGUAGAUAUCGGGAGGAACACCAGCGGCGAAGGCGGCCUUCUGGACGGUGACUGACGCUGAGACGCGAAAGCGUGGGGAGCAAACAGG